AGACUUAUUUGGUUGGGAGGAUUUCGUAAUCAGAAGGCGGGGCCUCCAUGGCGAGGCUUGGUCAUUGCACUUUCGACCAGGCUGACCAGUGUGGCAGACCCGAGUUGGGAUUGGCCAACAGCGUAAUUUUUGCGUUUGGGGACAGCGUUCGCGCUUCCCCGCG
rnacentral:snRNA from 14 species